ACUUUGUCUGCAUGUUGAGCAGUUUACAGCGAUGAGCAUGUUGGCUAUCAGAGUGACAAAUUUCAAUUUUGGAUUCAGCUAGCGAGUCACUGUGGUUCAGAUAGAUCAACUGCUGAUCUUGGAAUGUUUCUAAUGCCAGUAUGAAAUAACGUAUACCAGUUUCCUGCUGUUCUGAGUGUCCAACCUGGCAAAUGCUGGCCUAUUUUCUGGAACCUUACAAGUUCUGAUCAAACACAUCCAACGCAAUUUGUCCUGAUGAAAGCAGGAAGCCUAGCUGACUCUGAUUCCAGAAAACCCAACAUGUUCAGCAUACUCGCAUUCCUCAUAGUUGUGUGCAAGCCUUAUACUUACAGAGAGUUUCCAGCUAUAGCCUCCCCCUGACCUCCCCUCCUCAAACAGUGAUGGAUUAACAAAGGUUCCUGUAGACUUCAAACAUCUGAUAUUGGUACACAACCAUGCGUGGCAUCCGCAGAACAGAAUCAUCUCCGCGAUAAUCUCCCUGUCUGCUGAAGUGAGUCUGAUGUCAUUCAUACGAUUACAUAACAGAAACGCCCUCAAUGUGUUUCUGCCUGCAGAAGUAUGGAUUACUUUGAACUUUUUAAUAAUACAGUAAUAUAGUUUAAGGCAACAAAUGAAUGAGCUAGCAUUGAAAAGAUAAUACACUGUAAAUAUACCUUGGAAUAAUUUUCAACCGAAAAAUGCAUGGUCCCAAUUAACCAUUCAACCAAACUAAUAACAAAGAAUUUGUCCCAAAAUAUCAAAGAAUUUAUUAAACCUGUUAAAUAAGAAUUAUAAUGCAAUGUCUUGCAGUCUGCAUUUUUAAUGAGCUAUUUGCACUGAGGUUUGAGGCAGUGAAAUGAGAUAGUAUUAACAAAAUAGAAAACUUUCCAUUAAUUGUGAUGUCACAACACAUAUCACACAAAAACAUAACAUAUCAAGUGUAAACAUUUCAUAAAACAAAAAGAGCAAAACUCAAUGAAAUAUUAAGACACAAACAUCAAGAAAAAUGUAAUAUUGCAUUAGUAUAGGAAAAGCUAUCUUCUCAUUUGUUUUUUUGCGACCAUUAAUGCUGAUGUAAUGGUCGUAAAUAUCCGUUUUACUGGCUCCCACAACAUGUCCCUGGUAAAACUCAGUUUGUGAUCAUUAAAUCAGCAUUAACGGUCACAAAUAACUAAUGUGAAGACGGUUAUUCCCUAACUUAAUGACCAACAUUUUGUACGUUGAUGCUGAAAUGCUGUAGCUGAUUUUUCAAUAAAUCUCUUCCAUUUAGUAUUGAUUGAAACAAUAGUUCGGAGUCAUCAAUAUGUAGGAAUGUGUAAGGGGGGGGGGGGUCAAUUUCAUAAUAAUUUGGAGAGAAGCUUGAUAGUAGCCAUACAUAGUUUAAACAUCAAAUAUUGUAUACAAUUAAAGGAAAGUUAAUCACUUGACCAUGAUAAUGCUAUUUUAUCAACAUUAUUUUCUAUACAAGUAAUUCAAACAAAUUAUUGCAAACAUUUAAAUUUGAUAUGAAGUAAAUCUAAAUGUAAGAAUUAAUCUGAUGAAGGCUACAUUGAGCUUUUUAUGGCUGAUAUGCAGCAAUACAGUACUUCAACAGACUAUAUAUAACAUAUUGACAUUUAUUACAUAAUCCUGUUCUUACAAAGUUUGAAAACCCCACUACAGAACUUCCCAAACUAGAUUAUAUAUUGACACAAGCACUUUAACAGAUCUAGUAUCAGAAACAUAUUUCCUUGGGUCAAGUUUUCCCAGAGAUGUUGUUAGAUAGCCAUGAAGUACAUGGUCAUAAUUUCUACCAACAAGAUACAAUCAGCCUUUUAUAAAAGUGGACAAACUAACUUUGAUCUGUAAUUUGGGGCUAACCAUUAUUUCUCAUCAAAACUCCUGUGUGAGUCUCCCUGAUGUCUGAAAUCUUAAUUACAGAGUUCAAUUCUACUUACAUACGUCACCCAGAGAUUGUUUGAUCUGUUUUGAUGAACAGAUAAAGGGAUUUUUGUGUAAGCAUCAAAUGGACAUGAUGAAAGUGAACUGGUCAAUAUACAGCCAAAACUUAAGAUCAAUGAUCAUUUAAAAUCAGUGGCCUUAAUAACGAAUUUAAAAACAUUUCGGUAAAGCUAGUCUAUAUAUAUUCAAAUCGCAUGUGUAAACACGCAAACUCUGAUUAAAAAAAUAUAUAAAUGAGAAAUUCUACCCAAACUACCAAGUCAUAUAAUGAUAUACAUAUAUCACCUUUUAAACUACUGUAUUGACGUUUGGUGUGAAAUUUUACACCUCCCUUUAACCUGCCAUUCUGAUGGGUGUUUUUCAUUGUUCUAGAUCUGCACAGAACUUACUUCACACUAGACAGAAUGUUUGUAAAAACAGCAGACCUCCCUCUGUGUUAAUUUUCUUUUUAUAAAAAUCUGUUACAGGUUGUUAACUGAAAAAGUAAACAAGGUUUCAAGCAGUCGCUAAGAUAACCUCAAAGGAAUAUUGUGUUUAUAAAUAUCUUACAGUUCUACUGGCUCAAAUACUACAUGUUAUGUGUAUAUUAAAAAAGAUUCUGAAGUUUU